UCGAGAAUUUUUCUCAAUGGGGGAAACCCUGAAGGAGCGACGCCGCGUGGAGGAUGAAGGUCUUCGGAUUGUAAACUCCUGUCAUUUGGGAACAAUUGUUGGCGAUUAACUGUCGUCAGCUUGAUAGUACCAGAAGAGGAAGAGACGGCUAACUCUGUGCCAGCAGCCGCGGUAAUACAGAGGUCUCAAGCGUUGUUCGGAUUCAUUGGGCGUAAAGGGUGCGUAGGUGGCGGGGUAAGUCAGGUGUGAAAUCUCGGGGCUCAACCCCGAAACUGCACUUGAUACUGCCUUGCUCGAGUACUGGAGAGGAGAUUGGAAUUUACGGUGUAGCAGUGAAAUGCGUAGAUAUCGUAAGGAAGACCAGUGGCGAAGGCGAAUCUCUGGACAGUUACUGACACUGAGGCACGAAGGCCAGGGGAGCAAACGGGAUUAGAUACCCCCGUAGUCC
rnacentral:rRNA from 1 species